rnacentral:rRNA from 1 species
AGUGAACGCUGGCGGCAGGCCUAACACAUGCAAGUCGAGCGGAGCGGCGGACGGGUGAGUAAUGCCGAGGAAUCUGCCUGGUAGUGGGGGAUAACGUCAGGAAACGGGCGCUAAUACCGCAUGCUAUCAGAGGAGCCUAGGGCGGAUUAGCUAGUUGGUGGGGUAAAGGCCUACCAAGGCGAAGAUCCGUAACUGGGCUGAGAGGAUGAUCAGUCACACUGGAACUGAGACACGGUCCAGACUCCUACGGUAGGCAGCAGUGGGGAAUAUUGGACAAUGGGCGAAAGCCUGAUCCAGCCAUGCCGCGUGUGUGAAGAAGGUCUUCGGAUUGUAAAGCACUUUAAGUUGGGAGGCGUUACCAACAGAAUAAGCACCGGCUAACUUCGUGCCAGCAGCCGCGGUAAUUC